CCUACGGGAGGCAGCAGUAGGGAAUCUUCCGCAAUGGGCGAAAGCCUGACGGAGCAACGCCGUGUGAGUGAUGAAGGUCUUCGGAUCGUAAAACUCUGUUAUUAGGGAAGAACAAACGUGUAAGUAACUGUGCACGUCUUGACGGUACCUAAUCAG
rnacentral:rRNA from 1 species